rnacentral:rRNA from 1 species
GUAGGGUGCGAGCGUUAAUCGGAAUUACUGGGCGUAAAGCGUGCGCAGGCGGGCUUUUAAGCCAGACGUGAAAUCCCCGGGCUUAACCUGGGAAUGGCGUUUGGGACUGGAAGUCUGGAGUGCGGCAGAGGAGACUGGAAUUCCUGGUGUAGCAGUGAAAUGCGUAGAUAUCAGGAGGAACACCGAUGGCGAAGGCAGGUCUCUGGGCUGACACUGACGCUCAUGCACGAAAGCGUGGGGAGCAAACAGGAUUAGAUACCCUGGUAGUCCACGCCCUAAACGAUGUCGACUGGUUGUUGGGGGUUUGACACUCUCAGUAACGAAGCUAACGCGUGAAGUCGACCGCCUGGGGAGUACGGCCGCAAGGUUA